UGCAUUUAAAUGUGAAAAUUUGAACUUUUUUUUCCAGGUCAUUCUUCCCCUUUUGACUUAACGUGGUAGAUCUGGCCUCACUGAUAUUUCUAAGAUGUCCUUUUCUCUGAGGUCUCAGCACGGAUGCGGCAGUUCCUUAUUGCAGCAUUAGGAUUACUUGGAGAUUUUCAUCUCAGGCUUUCCCUUGAUGCUUUACCUCUCAGAAUGGUCUUCAGCACUCAGUAGUCCUCCCUGGGGAUGUCCAGCAAUGCGGAGCCUUCGCUGAAACCCUGGCGCCAGAUGCAAUCAUUUAUAAUUUCUCCUGCAACAUACAGACCCAAGUCAUAGCCAGUUUCCUUCAGAGAAACAUCUGUGCUAUCAGUGCCCUAGCAGCUGUGCUGGCUCUCUUGAUUUAAGUUGGAAAUAUUUCUGUCAAUUGGUGAAACUAUCAUAAGAUGAUCCUUGUUUCCUCACACAGUCUGGGAUAAGAAGGAUCCAUUUCACACUUGUUUCAUAGUCCAGAA